GGGUCAGUAGGUUGGUCGUGCCACCGGUACGUACUGGUCUCAUUGAUUCCUCCUUCCUGAAGAACCUUAAUGCCAUUAAUUUGGUGUUGCGGGGAAACAGGACUGUUACUUUGAAAAAAUUAGAGUGUUUAAAGCAAGCUAACGCUUGAAUACAUUAGCAUGGAAUAAUGAAAUAGGACGAUCGAUCCUAUUUUGUUGGUUUCUAGGAUUGACUUA
rnacentral:rRNA from 1 species